AACAUCUCAUUAAUUUAAAAUAAUCCCUGUGUUCUGUUCAAAGGAGAAAACAUCUGAGCUCCAGGAGGAAUGCUUUUAGAUUUUUAUAAGAACCGUCAUGAAUAUAUGCAGAAGUAUACUAGUGCUGUGUCUGGACUACAGCGAUAAUGAUCUCUGCUUGUGCAGGCCCAAGAGAGCACCCAUAUCCACAGCUCUAAAGCAUUAUUCUCUACAAAUCAAGCUCUUUGAAAAGUUGAUGAUUCCCUAAGCAUACCAUCCUCCAGGAAAGAUGAAGACAGUCUGAAUAGACAGUAAGUA
rnacentral:lncRNA from 1 species